rnacentral:rRNA from 1 species
GAAGUGAAACAUCUCAGUACCCUUAGGAAAAGAAAUCAAUUGAGAUUCCCUCAGUAGCGGCGAGCGAACGGGGAUCAGCCCAUUAAGUUAUGUGUGUUUUAGUGGAACGCUCUGGGAAGUGCGAACGUAGAGGGUGAUAUUCCCGUACACGAAAGGGCACACAUAAUGAUGACGAGUAGGGCGAGGCACGUGAAACCUUGUCUGAAUAUGGGGGGACCAUCCUCCAAGGCUAAAUACUCCUGACUGACCGAUAGUGAACCAGUACCGUGAGGGAAAGGCGAAAAGAACCCCUGUGAGGGGAGUGAAAUAGAUCCUGAAACCGCAUGCAUACAAGCAGUGGGAGCACCUUCGUGGUGUGACUGCGUACCUUUUGUAUAAUGGGUCAGCGACUUAUAUUCAGUAGCGAGGUUAACCGUAUAGGGGAGCCGUAGAGAAAUCGAGUCUUAAUAGGGCGUUUAGUUGCUGGGUAUAGACCCGAAACCAGGCGAUCUAUCCAUGAGCAGGUUGAAGGUUGGGUAACACUAACUGGAGGACCGAACCCACUGUCGUUGAAAAGCCAGGGGAUGACUUGUGGAUAGGGGUGAAAGGCUAAUCAAGCCUGGUGAUAGCUGGUUCUCCCCGAAAGCUAUUUAGGUAGCGCCUCGGACGAAUACCAUAGGGGGUAGAGCACUGUUUCGGCUAGGGGGUCAUCCCGACUUACCAAACCGAUGCAAACUCCGAAUACCUAUGAGUACUAUCCGGGAGACAGACUGCGGGUGCUAACGUCCGUAGUCAAGAGGAAAACAAUCCAGACCGCCAGCUAAGGCCCCAAAAUCAUAGUUAAGUGGGAAACGAUGUGGGAAGGCAUAGACAGCUAGGAGGUUGGCUUAGAAGCAGCCACCCUUUAAAGAAAGCGUAAUAGCUCACUAGUCGAGUCGGCCUGCGCGGAAGAUGUAACGGGGCUAAAACUAUGUGCCGAAGCUGCGGAUGUAUACUUUGUAUACGUGGUAGGGGAGCGUUCUGUAAGCCGAUGAAGGUGUGUUGAGAAGCAUGCUGGAGGUAUCAGAAGUGCGAAUGCUGACGUGAGUAACGACAAAACGGGUGAAAAACCCGUUCGCCGAAAGACCAAGGGUUCCAGUCCAACGUUAAUCGGGGCUGGGUGAGUCGACCCCUAAGGCGAGGCCGAAAGGCGUAGUCGAUGGGAAAAUGGUUAAUAUUCCAUUACUUCUGUGUAAUGCGAUGAGAGGACGGAGAAGGCUAAAUCAGCCUGGCGUUGGUUGUCCAGGUGAAAGGAUGUAGGCAUGUAUCUUAGGCAAAUCCGGGGUACUCUAUGCUGAGAUCUGAUAGCAAGCUGUACUUGUACAGCGAAGUGGUUGAUGCCAUGCUUCCAGGAAAAGUCUCUAAGCUUCAGUUACACAGGAAUCGUACCCGAAACCGACACAGGUGGUCAGGUCGAGUAGACCAAGGCGCUUGAGAGAACUCUGCUGAAGGAACUAGGCAAAAUGGUACCGUAACUUCGGGAGAAGGUACGCUGUUGUUGGUGAUGGAACUUGCUUCCUGAGCUGACGACAGCCGCAGAAACCAGGCCGCUGCAACUGUUUAUUAAAAACAUAGCACUCUGCAAACACGAAAGUGGACGUAUAGGGUGUGAUGCCUGCCCGGUGCUGGAAGGUUAAUUGAUGGGGUUAGCGUAAGCGAAGCUCUUGAUCGAAGCCCCAGUAAACGGCGGCCGUAACUAUAACGGUCCUAAGGUAGCGAAAUUCCUUGUCGGGUAAGUUCCGACCUGCACGAAUGGCAUAAUGAUGGCGGCGCUGUCUCCAGCAGAGGCUCAGUGAAAUCGAAAUCGCUGUGAAGAUGCAGUGUACCCGCGGCUAGACGGAAAGACCCCGUGAACCUUUACUGCAGCUUGACACUGAACUUUGACCUUACUUGUGUAGGAUAGGUGGGAGGCUUUGAAGCUGGAACGCUAGUUCCAGUGGAGCCGUCCUUGAAAUACCACCCUGGUAAUGUUGAGGUUCUAACUCUGUCCCGUGAUCCGGGACGAGGACCGUGUCUGGUGGGUAGUUUGACUGGGGCGGUCUCCUCCUAAAGAGUAACGGAGGAGUACGAAGGUGCGCUCAGCGUGGUCGGAAAUCACGCGUAGAGUAUAAAGGCAAAAGCGCGCUUAACUGCGAGACCCACAAGUCGAGCAGGUACGAAAGUAGGUCUUAGUGAUCCGGUGGUUCUGUAUGGAAGGGCCAUCGCUCAACGGAUAAAAGGUACUCUGGGGAUAACAGGCUGAUACCGCCCAAGAGUUCAUAUCGACGGCGGUGUUUGGCACCUCGAUGUCGGCUCAUCUCAUCCUGGGGCUGAAGCAGGUCCCAAGGGUAUGGCUGUUCGCCAUUUAAAGAGGUACGCGAGCUGGGUUUAGAACGUCGUGAGACAGUUCGGUCCCUAUCUACCGUGGGCGCUGGAAAUUUGAGAGGAUCUGCUCCUAGUACGAGAGGACCAGAGUGGACGAACCUCUGGUGUACCGGUUGUGACGCCAGUCGCAUCGCCGGGUAGCUAUGUUCGGAAGGGAUAACCGCUGAAAGCAUCUAAGCGGGAAGCCUACCUCAAGAUAAGAUUUCCCUAGGACUUUAUGUCCUCUAAAGAGCCGUUCGAGACUAGGACGUUGAUAGGUUGGAUGUGGAAGCAUAGUGAUAUGUGAAGCUGACCAAUACUAAUUGCUCGUGAGGCUUGACUAU